AUGAAUUUGAGAAGAACACAGACUUUCAUUUGUCAAAUAAAACUUUCUAGAAGAUGGGGGAAGAGAUUGAACCCUUUAUGGGAACAGAUAGAAAUAUUCGGGGGACAUAGAGCAAAGUAGGGUAGGUAGGUGAGGUUCUCUAAAGAACAUCUUAGCUUUGGAGACAGCUGAACUGAGAGUAAAUCCAAAGUUAUUCCUCCAGGGUGACAGAGAUAGUGAGCAGGGUUACUUUGUUAUCUCCAAAGAAGGCAGUAAAGGUUGUUGGAUGAAAGCAAGCCUAAAUGAAAGGUCCUGUUCCUCAAGGAGAUGGCUGGUAUUGCAGACUGAAAGGUGGAAAUCAAAUGAUGUGCAACAAAAGUGCUCAAGCCAAAGGUCACUGGAGAUGAUGAAGAACAGUGCUCUGCCACAGCCAAGAAGUUCACUGCAAUUUAUGUGGUGGUUUCACGCUGAUGGGCAGCUAAGCUCCAACACACAGGUCUCCCACUCCCCCUCCUCAAAAAAACAGGGGAAGAAAAUAUGAUGAAAAAAAGCUAAUGGGUUUAGAUAAGGACAGGGAGAUUACUCACCUGUUACUGUCAUUGGCAAAAUAGACUCAGCAUAGGAGAUUACUGUAAUUUUUAUUACAGUAAUUUUUAUUACUAGCACACUAGAACAGUGAGAAACUAAAAGCAAACUAAAAACACCACUCCCCACCCCCGCAUUCACCCUUCACAGUCACUCUCUGCCCCUGCUCCAUGUGGGGUCCCUCCCACGGGAUGCCAUCCUUCCCAAACUGAUGCUGUGUGGGCUUCCCACAGGGAGCAGCU
rnacentral:lncRNA from 1 species